rnacentral:rRNA from 2 species
UACGUAGGGUGCGAGCGUUGUCCGGAAUUACUGGGCGUAAAGAGCUCGUAGGUGGUUUGUCGCGUUGUUCGUGAAAACUCACAGCUCAACUGUGGGCGUGCGGGCGAUACGGGCAGACUGGAGUACUGCAGGGGAGACUGGAAUUCCUGGUGUAGCGGUGGAAUGCGCAGAUAUCAGGAGGAACACCGGUGGCGAAGGCGGGUCUCUGGGCAGUAACUGACGCUGAGGAGCGAAAGCGUGGGGAGCGAACAGG